UCUCCCGCUUCACCUCCCUGAGCGGGUGCCUUGACCCCCUGUCAAGGCAUUUCACCCCCGGCUUCAUCCCCUUUGGCCGGGGGUUUUUGUAU
rnacentral:ncRNA from 1 species